ACUCCUACGGGAGGCAGCAGUGGGGAAUAUUGCACAAUGGGCGAAAGCCUGAUGCAGCGACGCCGCGUGAGGGAUGACGGCCUUCGGGUUGUAAACCUCUUUCAGCAGGGAAGAAGCGAAUGUGACGGUACCUGCAGAAGAAGCGCCGGCUAACUACGUGCCAGCAGCCGCGGUAAUACGUAGGGCGCGAGCGUUGUCCGGAAUUAUUGGGCGUAGAGAGCUCGUACGCGGCUUGUCACGUCGGUUGUGAAAGCCCGGGGCUUAACCCCGGGUCUGCAGUCGAUACGGGCAGGCUAGAGUUCGGUAGGGGAUAUCGGAAUUCCUGGUGUAGCGGUGAAUGCGCAGAUCAAGAGGAACACCGGUGGCAAAGGCAGAUCUCUGGGCCGAUACUGACUCUAAAGAGCGAAGCGUGGGGAGCGAACGGGAUUAGAUACCCUGGUAGUCCACGCCGUACACGGUGGCACUAGGUGUGGGCGACUUCCACGUCGUCCGUGCCGCAUCUAAGCAUUUGUGCCCCCCGGGGAAUACGGCCGCAGGCUAAACUCAAGGGAUUGACGGGGGCCGCACAACCGCAGACAUGUGCUUAUUCCACGCACGCGAAGACCUUACCAGGCUUGAAUACCCGGAAGAUCAGAGAGGUGCCCCCUUGU
rnacentral:rRNA from 1 species